UCUUGGGUCGGGUCUAAUAACCCUGACCUUGGACUUCCCACGUGUCCUUCAAAGAAAGCAAUUAUUUUUGCCUAUUUUCUGAGUAUGAUGGUAUUCUCCAUUUGAUUUAACAAAAAAAUUCUUCCUCUGCUUUAAAAGACUGAAAGCCUCCCUGUAAGGUGCUGAUUGCCUUCCAGAUCUGAGGACCCCGUCUCUGCCUCAUUCCUCCUGUUUCCAUCAGAAGACACAGGUCUGGGACUCAGCGCAGCUGACCUGUCUGUCCCUCUCUGCACAGUUUACUCCUGGGCUCUGCAGAGAGAAGUCAGUGCCUCAAUUUUCCAUUGAAAUAUGCACCCUUGGCAUCCUGGCAGCCCACCCUGCUUGACGAGGUCAUCACUGGUGCUUAGGAGUAAACUGGAAUGGCAGACAGAGCCCAGUGGAUAUUGCAGAGGAACAGAAGGAAAAAGAUGUGCAUGACGCCUCAGUGCUUGCAGCAUUAAAGCAAAAAAAAAAAAAA
rnacentral:lncRNA from 1 species